CCUACGGGAGGCUGCAGUGGGGAAUAUUGGACAAUGGGGGCAACCCUGAUCCAGCCAUGCCGCGUGUGUGAAGAAGGCCCUCGGGUUGUAAAGCACUUUCAGUGAGGAAGAACGCCUGGUGGUUAAUACCCAUCAGGAAAGACAUCACUCACAGAAGAAGCACCGGCUAACUCCGUGCCAGCAGCCGCGGUAAUACGGAGGGUGCGAGCGUUAAUCGGAAUUACUGGGCGUAAAGUGCGCGUAGGUGGCUUGAUAAGCCGGUUGUGAAAGCCCCGGGCUCAACCUGGGAACGGCAUCCGGAACUGUCAAGCUAGAGUGCAGGAGAGGAAGGUAGAAUUCCCGGUGUAGCGGUGAAAUGCGUAGAGAUCGGGAGGAAUACCAGUGGCGAAGGCGGCCUUCUGGACUGACACUGACACUGAGGUGCGAAAGCGUGGGUAGCAAACAGGAUUAGAUACCCCAGUAGUC
rnacentral:rRNA from 1 species